rnacentral:rRNA from 1 species
UGCCCUACGGGAGGCAGCAGUGGGGGAUAUUGGACAAUGGGGGGAACCCUGAUCCAGCGACGCCGCGUGGGCGACGGAGUACUUCGGUAUGUAAAGCCCUAUCAGCAGGGAAGAAAAUGACGGUACCUGACUAAGAAGCCCCGGCUAAAUACGUGCCAGCAGCCGCGGUGAUACGUAUGGGGCAAGCGUUAUCCGGAUUUACUGGGUGUAAAGGGAGCGUAGGCGGCCUGGCAAGCCUGAUGUGAAAUACCGGGGCCCAACCCCGGGGCUGCAUUGGGAACUGCCAGGCUGGAGUGCCGGAGAGG